GACGUAGGGAGCGAGCGUUGUCCGGAUUCAUUGGGCGUAAAGAGCGCGUAGGCGGCCGUGCAAGUCGGUUGUGAAAUCCCGGGGCUCAACCCCGGGACUGCGUCCGAUACUGCACGGCUCGAGGCAGGUAGGGGAGAGUGGAAUUCCCGGUGUAGCGGUGAAAUGCGCAGAUAUCAGGAGGAACACCGGUGGCGAAGGCGGGUCUCUGGGCCGAUACUGACGCUGAGGAGCGAAAGCGUGGGGAGCAAACAGG
rnacentral:rRNA from 1 species